AUGGAGGCCGCUAUCGGUGCGGCGAACUGGCUUGUCGGCAAGGUGCUGACUAAGCUCUCUGAUGAGUUGGUGGCCGCGUACGUGGCCAGCUCUGAGCUCGGCCUCAACUCCGAGCAGAUCAAAACCAAGCUCAAGUACAUGCAAGGGUUGCUGCACGCAGCGCAGGACACGGAUGUGAGCAGCAACCCUGGCUUGCAGAGCUUGCUGGAGGACCUGAGCAAGAAGGCCGAUGAGGCUGAAGACGCCCUGGACGAGCUCCACUACUUCAUGAUCCAGGACCAGUUGGACGGCACCCAGGAGGCCGCCCCUGAGCUGGGUGAUGGUCUUCGUGGUCAUGCUCUCCAUGGUCGCCAUGCUGCUCGCCAUACCAUCGGUAACUGGCUUCCAUGCUUUUCUUGCUCGCGUACUCAAGCCGAAGUUCCUUCUGCUGCUGCUGUCAUCAGUAACCCAGACAAAGCAACCAAGUCUGGUAGUGGCCAUGAUGGCGGCCAUGUUGAUAAGUUGUUUUUUGAUAGAGUAGCCAUGUCCAACAAAAUCAAGUCAGUAAUGGAGGAAAUGAACUCCAUAUGUGGACCUGUGUCUAACUUGCUCAAAAUUGAAAACCAUAGUAGCACCGCAGCAAGCACAACUGGCACCCUAAAAAGGCCUCCCACAGGUUCAGUAGUUUCACAAGAUAAAUUAUACGGAAGGAGAGCCAUCUUUGAGCAAACUGUAAGUGCGCUCACUGGUAGCACAUAUCUUGAUGAAACCCUUUCUAUUCUGCCUUUUGUCGGCCCUGGGGGUAUGGGAAAGACAACCUUCACCCAACACUUGUAUAAUGAUAAAAGGGUUGAGGAGCAGUUCACUGUCAGGGUCUGGGUGUGUGUCUCAACUGAUUUUGAUGUGCUCAACCUCACCCGACAGAUCCUUAGAUGCAUACCUGCAAUUGAAAAAGAAGAACACAAGUGUACUGUCGAGACUGCCAAUUUAGAUCAGCUUCAAAAAUCCAUUGCCGAGCGACUGAAGUCCAAAAGGUUUUUAAUUGUCUUGGAUGAUAUAUGGAAAUUCAGUAGUGAAGCCGAUUGGAAGAACAUAUUAGCUCCAUUCAAAAAGGGGGAAACCAAGGGUAGCAUGGUUCUCGUCACAACUCGGUUUCCAUCUAUAGCUCAAUUGGUGAAAACAACGGAUCCAGUAGAACUGCAUGGUUUGGAGCCUAAUGACUUCUUGAAAUUCUUUGAAACAUGUAUAUUUGGACAUAGCAAACCUGAGCAUUAUGAAGAUGACUUAAUUGAUAUUGCAAGAGAUAUUGCAAAGAAACUAAAGGGUUCACCACUAGCAGCCAAUACGGUUGGUCGAUUGUUGAGGAAAAACCUUUCUCGGGAAUAUUGGAUAGGAGUUCUUGAAAGGAAUGAGUGGAAAAAUGCAAAAAACAAUGAUGAUAUUAUGCCUUCGCUGAAAAUCAGCUAUGAUUACCUUCCUUUCCUUCUAAAAAAAUGUUUUUCGUAUUGUGCCCUCUUCCCUGAAGAUUAUAGGUUCUAUAAUUUGGAAAUUACUAGCUUUUGGAGCGCAAUAGGUAUCUUAGACUCUAGUUGCCAAGACAAUAAUAAGUACUUAGAAGAACUAGUGGACAAUGGUUUUCUCAUAAAGGGAGUUGAUAGGUCUGGUAAUCAAUACUAUGUGAUGCAUGAUUUAUUGCAUGAACUAUCCCGGAGUGUUUCAUCACAAGAAUGUGUGAAUAUAAGCAGUUUAAGUUUUAGUUCUGAUGAUAUCCCACGAUCUGUUAAACACCUGUCGAUCACCACGAAGAAUAUAUAUGAUGAAUGUUUUGGGGAGGAGAUAGGUAAACUGAAGCGCAUGAUAGACGUUGCAAGUUUGCGUUCUUUGAUGAUUUUUGGAUUACAUGGUGCAACAAUGGCUAAUAUUUUAAAAGAUACAUUUGAAGAAAUAAAGGGUCUCCGGGUUCUAAUUAUAGCAAUGAACACUCCCAAAUUUUUGCCAAGCUAUUUUUCAAACCUUUUCCACCUCCAAUUCCUUAAAAUUAGAUCACCCAGUCACUUAAAAGAAAUGACUUUACCUAGCACAUUGUCUAGAUUUUACCACCUGAAAUUCCUGGACCUGAAUGGCUGGAGUGGUAGUAACAAGUUGCCUAAAGACAUUAGCCGCCUUGUGAAUUUACGACAUUUUCUUUCUUCCAAAGAACUCCAUUCCCAUAUUCCUGAGGUUGGAAAGAUGAAGUGUUUACAUGAGCUAAAAGAGUUCAAUGUUAAGAAAGAGGGUGUUGGAUUUGAACUGAAAGAGCUGGGGGAGUUGAGAGAGCUUGAGGGUAAACUCACUAUAUGUAAUCUUGAAACUGUGGCAUCCAAGGGAGAAGCUAGUGAAGCCAGACUGAGGAACAAAAGAAAUCUGAAAGAGUUGAGAUUAGUAUGGGGUACAAAGCACCAGACUGUGAAUGAUGAUGUUCUUGAUGGUCUUCAACCACACCCUAAUCUGAGGGUGCUUGGCAUUAUAAAUCCUGGUGCUGUUCCUUGUCCUCGAUGGUUGUGUGGUGAUAUUAGCACAGAAAGGUUGGAGUCUCUUCAUCUGGAGGGUCUUUCAUGGUGUCCUCUUCCAGCUUUUGAGCAGCUGAGACACCUCGGCAGUCUCACUUUCAAAAAUAUUGUUGGGAUGAGUGUGUUCGGGCCUGGCUUUAGUGGUGUUACAGAAAGAAGCUUCAUGCACCUGAAGACACUUGAGUUUACGAAUAUGCCAAAACUUGUGGAGUGGGUCGGGGAACCUAAUAGCCACUUGUUUUCAAGGCUUGAAAGGAUCAAGCUUGGAGGUUGUCCCCUUCUCACGCGGUUUCCCUUCUUGGAGUGCCCUGACUGUUUUACUAACCUGUAUAGUUUUUGCAUUUUUAACUGCCCUGAACUUUCUCACUUUCCUCCGAUGCCUCACAACAACACACUGAGAGAUAUCUCUGUGAGCAAUGCUAGCUCAGGGUUGUUGUAUACAGGAAAGGAAUUAGCUAUCCGAGGGUAUGCCGGUGCUUUGUCCUUCCACAAUAUGGAUAAAGUAGAGGUUAUGAAAAUUAUGGGUGUGUCACAUAUUUUGUUUUCAGACCUCCAAAAUCUGAAUUCGUUGAGAAGUAUACAUUUAGAGAAAUGCGACGACAUAUUUUCUGCAGAAUUGGAUGACAGUGUUGUCCUCCAUUCAGUUCAGAAUCUUGACAUAGAUGAAUUAUGUAUUACUGGAGAAAUGUUUUCAAAGGUGUUGAAGUGUUUCCCAGCUCUUUCCAAACUUCGCAUCUUAAGUUGUAGGAGCCUUGAACUUUUGAGAAUGGAGGAUGGAGGACUCGCGGACCUCAGAAUGCUCCAAUCAUUUGAAGGAAACAGUUGUGGGAAGUUGUUCUCUCGAUUGCCCAAAGGAGAAGUAGGUGGAGGAGCUCAUGCCAUCAAGCCUUUCCCUGCUUCUCUUACGGAACUUAAUAUUUUCGUAGAGGCAAGCAUGCAAUCAAUGGGUUUGCUCUCAAACCUCACGUCUCUCACCAGUCUGGGCUUGGAAAAUUGUAGAAAAUUGACGAUGGAUGGGUUCAAUCCGCACAUCACAGUCAACCUCAAGACGUUGGAUGUAUGUGCUAUGAAUGAUGAACAGGAGAACAUGACUAUAGCAGGGGAUUUGCUGUCAGAGAUUGCAAGGAGCAAGUUAAUGCAUGUGGGUUCAUUCCAGCUGGAAAAAUUUGUGGUGGAUUGUAUCUCGGCAGUGCUUACUGGUCCCAUCUGUAGCCACCUUGCCGCUACCCUCCACACAUUGGUGUUCAGUCAUGAUCAGGGGGCGACAACCUUCACGGAAGAGCAAGAGAAAGCACUUCAGCUUCUCACCUCCCUCAAACAUCUUGAAUUUCGAGUUUGCAAAAAUCUGCAGUCCCUCCCUCAAGUGUUACGUCUCCUUUCUUAUCUAAAGACACUAGUGAUCCACGGUUGUAGGAAAAUCCAAUGCCUGCCGCCCAAGGAGGGCCUUCCCGCUUCACUGGAAAAGCUAGAAGUAAACUUGUGCAGUCCUGAGGUAACUGAGCAAGCCAAGAAAUUGAAAGAAAGGGACCUGUGGUUUUCUGUAAAAAUAUUGGUGUACCCGAGGCCGAGGUAA
rnacentral:rRNA from 1 species